AUGGCUGGACUUGGAGCUGGAGCUCAAGGGGGAGCUUCCUAUUUUCCAGUAGAGAAACUGGGAGAGUCCAAUUAUAUGUCAUGGAGUUUACAGAUGCAGGCGUUUUUAAAGAAAGAACAAUGUUGGACUGUUAUUGCUAACCCUCCUGUAAAAGAGGAGGAUGAAGAAGUAGAUGAAGCAGACCAAAGGCUGGAGGACAAAGCCUAUGCCAAUUUAAUUUUGAGUUUAGAGAAGUCUCAGUUAUCUCAUGUGCGAGACUUUGAAACAGCAAGUGAGAUUUGGCAAGCACUGAGAGCAAUACAUGUUAGAGACACUGCUGGCAGCAAAAUUACUCUAAUGAGAGCUCUGUACCGAGCCAGACUAAGUGAGGGUGAAUGUGUUUCAACACACCUUCAAAGAAUGCGUGAUUUAUUUUCACAGUUAAAUGAACUUGGGGAACAUUUUUCUGAACAGAGAAAAGUUUAUAUUGUGCUGUCUUCACUUCCUGAGUCAUGGGACAAUUUAGUGAUGACUCUGGAAGCAAUCCCAGAAAGCCAAUUAACAAUGUAUUUCUUAACUGGGCGUUUGCUUGAUGAGGAGGAAAGACGCCAUGAGAGGAAGGCCACAACCCCUCACCGUAACUCCAGAAAUGGGAGGCAGUCCAGUAAAAGAUAUGCAACUGAUGAGGAGCGGCAUCCUAAAGAGGUUGUAGACCACAGAGAGGAAGCAGCGUUCACAGUUAGAAGAUGCUAUCGUUGUGGGUCAACCAAGCAUUUAGUACGACAGUGCACUGUGUCUGUGGGAGAAAAUACAAGACAAGGGCGGCCUGCGUUUGCUGGGAAGCGAGGAGACAGGAAGAGUCGAGUCCAGUAUGUUUCUGCAGCAGUUCGAGGCACCAGUCAUGACGUUGGACAAGACUGGAUUUUAGACUCAGCAGCGACAAACAUUUUUGUCAAGUCUGCACAAACCCUUGUAGAAAAGCAGCCUUGUAAAUCUGUAAAUGUAGUACUAGCUGAUGGAACAGUGCAUGAGUCAGCUGGAAAGGGUAGUGUGAAUAUCAACUGUUUAAGUACCAAGUUUACCAAUGUUUUAUGUGUACCAAGUUUAGAAAAUAAUUUGCUUUCAGUUACAAGUCUUGUUAAGCAGGGAUUUAAAGUAACCUUUUCUGGUUCAGGCUGUAGAAUAGAGAAAGCUGGAAAAGUGGUUACAGCGUCACUACAAAAUGGUUUGUUUGUUUUGAAAGACCAGCUAGUAAGUGAGUCUGGGGCAUGUGUUAAAGCCUGUAAUAGAGCCUUGCAUGAUGAGUGCCAGCAUCUGUGGCAUCGUCGUUUGGGGCAUGCCAAUUUCCGCAGUAUUGCAAAAAUGCCAGAAUUAAGCAAGGGAAUUAAAAUGAAAAAAUGUUCAGUUUUUCUAGACUGCAAUACCUGCAAGGAGUCUAAAAGUAAGCGAGGGUCUUAUCCUGAAAGUACUAGAAUUAGCAAGAGGCCAUUUGCUUUAGUACAUUCAGACCUUUGUGGGCCAUUUGCAGAGUCUGAAGGACGAGCAAAGUUUUUUUUGGUUCUUGUGGAUGAUUUUAGCCGGUAUACUUGGGUAUAUUUGUUAAAACACAAAAGUGAAACUCGUCAACUGAUUAAGAAUUGGAUCAACUAUAUAGAAAGGCAGUUUCCCUACAAAGUUACCCAGUUGCAAAGUGACCGUGGAGGCGAGUUCAUGUCUGAAGCCCUCCAAGUUUGGUUGAAAAAGCGUGGUAUUAGUCACCGUAAAUCGUGUCCUUUUUCGCCUGAAGAAAAUUCAGUUGCAGAACGCAAGAUAAGAUCUUUACAAACAAUGCUAGAUUCAAUGCUAUGUGAUUCUGGCCUAUCCAGGAAGUAUUGGGGAGAAGGAAUUCUGUGUGCUAACUACAUACAGAACAGAUUGUUUCAUUCUACCAUAAACAACACUCCUCAUUUUUUGCUUUAUGGAAAAAAACCCUUUUUGGACCAUGUUAAAACUUUUGGUUGCUGGGCUUGGGUUCACAUCCCAAAAGGACAGAGAAGGAAAGGAGAGCCCAAGGCAAAGAAACUUAGGUUUGUUGGCUAUCAAACUUGGUCAAAGGGGUAUCGUUUUGCACUAGGGCAUGGCAGAGUUGUAAUAUCAAGACAUGCAGAGUUUUGUGAGCAAGAUGGUUGGGUUCGUUUACAUGGAAAUUCAGAAGUUGUGUUAUCUUCUGAUGAUACAGAUAAAUUUGUGAAAUCUGAGGAAGAAAAGCCACAAAUUAAAGAAAGUUCUGAAAGUGACAGUGAUGAGGAUUCAGGGGAUGAGGAUCCCAGUACACAAUCUUCUAAAGCUGAACCAAUUUCUCCUGAGCAGGAUGAAUCAGAAGGGGAAGAUAGUUCAGAGGGGGAGAGUGUUCAAGUUAGAAGGUCACAAAGAAGCAAUAAGGGGGUACCUCCAGAAAGGUUUACUAUACAAGAAGUUAAAACUGUUGAUGUGAAAAAGGAACCUCGUGAUUAUGAGGAAGUUUUAAAGUUACCACACCAGGAAAUAGUAAGGUGGAAAAAUGCAAUGAAAGCAGAAAUGAAAUCUUUAGCAGAACACAAUGUCUUUACCACUGAGCCAUUGCCAGAAGGAAAAAAGGCAGUGGGCUGUAGAUGGGUGUAUAAAAUAAAACAUUUGGCAGAUGGUGAUGUUAAGUACAAAGCCAGACUGGUAGCACGAGGCUUUACUCAAAGAAAAGGUGAAAGCUUUGAUGAAACCUUUUCUCCUACUGCAAGGAGUGAAAGUGUACGCUUAUUGCUAGCUCUUGCAGCACAACGUGGGUUUAAGGUAAACCAUUUUGAUAUUGAAACAGCUUAUCUUAACGCAAAUCUGCAAGAAGAAAUUUUUAUGAAUCAAGUGCCAGGUUUUGAGGCAGGAGAACAGAAUUCUGUAUAUAGGCUAAACAAAGCAAUUUAUGGGCUCAAACAGUCAGCUAGAAAUUGGAACGAGUGUCUUGAUAAUGCUUUAAAAAAUCUUGGCUUUAAAAGAAGCUUAGCUGAUAACUGCUUGUACACUAAAGGAAAGGGUGAUAAACAAGAAUUGUGUUUGUGUUAUGUUGAUGAUUUGCUUUACUCUACAAAAAGUGACAAGCAAGUGGAAAAAUUUGCAGAACAACUAAGAAAGGAAUUUAAAGUAAGAGAUUUGGGUCCAGUAAAAAAUUAUCUCGGUUUAGAAAUUCAAAGAACAAACGAUGGAAGUUUUUUGUUGAGUCAAAAAGACAAAAUAAUGGAAUUACUUGAAAGAAACAAUAUGCAAAACUGCAAGGGAGUAAAAACCCCAAUGGAAAUAGGUUUUUUCAAAAAUGAAGGAGAAUGCACAGAACCUGUAAAUCCUGAAAUGUACCAUUCAAUAAUUGGAAGUUUAUUAUACAUUUCAUUGUGGAGCAGACCAGAUUUGAGUUAUGCAGUUGGAAUACUAAGCAGACUAGUAAGCUGUCCUACAGAAAAUGCCUGGAAAGGUUUAAAACGUAUUUUCCGGUAUCUAAAGCAAACACUUGAUUAUUGUUUAAGAUUACCAUCUUCAGGGUCCACAAAAUUGCAGUGUUACGUUGACAGCGAUUGGGCCAACCUGCCUGAUAAAAAAUCAAUUUCUGGAAUGGUAUUUCAAUUUGGAGAUUCUUUAAUAGGUUGGAAAUCAAAAAAAACAAAGUAUAGUGGCCACAUCAUCAACUGA
rnacentral:lncRNA from 1 species